rnacentral:rRNA from 1 species
AGCAGCCGCGGUAAUUCCAGCUCCAAUAGCGUAUAUUAAAGUUGUUGCAGUUAAAAAGCUCGUAGUUGAACUUCGGGGUUUACCCAUUGGUCAGGCUUAAUUGUCUGUACAGGUGAGAUGAAUCUCUACCUUCUGAGGAACUUUCAUGCCAUUUAUUUGGUGUGAUGGGAAAUCAGGACUGUUACUUUGAAAAAAUUAGAGUGUUUAGAGCAGGCUAACGUCUGAAUACAUUAGCAUGGAAUAAUGAAAUAGGACGGACUGAUUCUAUUUCGUUGGUUUCUAGGAUCACCGUAAUGAUUAAUAGGGAUAGUUGGGGGCAUUAGUAUUCAAUUGUCAGAGGUGAAGUUCUUGGAUUUAUUGAAGACUAACUACUGCGAAAGCAUUUGCCAAGGAUGUUUUCAUCAAUCAAGAACGAAAGUUAGGGGAUCGAAGACGAUCAGAUACCGUCGUAGUCUUAACCAUAAACAAUGCCGACUAGGGAUCGGACGAAGUUAAUUUUAUAAUGACGCGUUCGGCACCUUACG